rnacentral:rRNA from 1 species
UCGAGAAUAUUCGACAAUGGGCGAAAGCCUGAUCGAGCGACACCGCGUGAAGGAAGAAGGUCUUCGGAUUGUAAACUUCUUUUCUUAGGGAAAAAGUAAUUGAUUGUACCUAGGGAAUAAGGAGCUGCAAACCUCGUGCCAGCAGCAGCGGUAAUACGAGGGCUCCGAGCGUUAUCCGGAUUUAUUGGGCGUAAAGAGUGCGCAGGAGGUUUUUUGCGUCUCGCGUUAAAUGUCAGAGCCUAACUCUGUCACCGCGUGGGAUACGGGAAAACUAGAGCAUGUAAGAGGUAACUGGAACUCACGGUGUAGGGGUGACAUCCGUUGAUAUCGUGGGGAACACCAAAGGCGAAGGCAGGUUACUGGUACAUUGCUGACUCUAAAGCACGAAAGCGUGGGGAGCAAAAAGG